GCUGGGCGUGGUGGCGCACGCCUGUAAUCCCAGCGACCUGGGAGGCUGAGGCAGGGAAUCGCAAAUUCAAGGUCAGCCUGGGCAAUUUAGGGAGACCCUGUCUCAA
rnacentral:sRNA from 1 species